rnacentral:rRNA from 1 species
UACAGAGGGUGCGAGCGUUAAUCGGAAUUACUGGGCGUAAAGCGCGCGUAGGCGGCUUUGCAAGUCGGGUGUGAAAUCCCCAGGCUUAACCUGGGAACUGCAUUCGAGACUGCAUUGCUAGAGUAUGGGAGAGGGAAGUGGAAUUUCCGGUGUAGCGGUGAAAUGCGUAGAUAUCGGAAGGAACAUCAGUGGCGAAAGGCGACUUCCUGGACCAAUACUGACGCUCAUGAUGCGGAAAGCGUGGGGAGCGAACCACGG